rnacentral:tRNA from 1 species
GGGGAUCUAGCUCAGUGGUAGAGUGCUUGCCUAGCAAGCGCAAGGCCCUGGGUUCGGUCCCCAGCUCCA